rnacentral:rRNA from 1 species
AUACGGGGGGUGCAAACGUUGUUCGGAAUCACUGGGCGUUAAGGGUCCGUAGGCGGCCCGGCAAAUCGGUUGUGGAAUCCCGGCGCUCACCGUCGGAAUUGCUGCCGAAAAUACCGGGCUAGAGUCCGUCAGGGGCAGGUGGAACUCAUGGUGAAGCGGUGAAAUGCGUAGAUAUCAUGAGGAACGCCGGAGGCGAAAGCGACCUGCUGGGGCGGCACUGACGCUGAGGGACGAAAGCUAGGGGAGCAAACAGGAUUAGAUACCCGAGUAGUCC